rnacentral:rRNA from 1 species
GACGAACGCUGGCGGCGUGCUUAACACAUGCAAGUCGAACGGUGAAGCGCCUUCCUUUUUGGUGGGUGUGGAUGAGUGGCGAACGGGUGAGUAACACGUGAGUAACCUGCCCCCUUCUUCUGGAUAACCGCAUGAAAGUGUGGCUAAUACGGGAUAUUCUGGGUCUGUCGCAUGAUGGGUCUGGGUAAGAUAUUGUUUCGGUGGGGGAUGGGCUCGCGGCCUAUCAGCUUGUUGGUGGGGUGAUGGCCUACCAAGGCGGUGACGGGUAGCCGGCCUGAGAGGGUGGCAGGUCACACUGGGACUGAGACACAGCCCCGACUCCUACGGGAGGCAGCCGUGGCUCCUACUGCACGCGGCGGUCAAGCCUGAUGCAGCGACGCCGCGUGAGGGAUGGAGGCCUUCGGGUUGUGAGCCUCUUUCGCCAGUGAAGCAGGCCUGCCUCGUUUGUGGGUGGGUUGACGGUAGCUGGAUAAGAAGCGCCGGCUAACUACGUG